CGGGGGAAGCGAUCAAGCUACCGGAAGAGCUGCUCGGCUCCUCCUCGAAGCAAGGUAAACCCUUAAACCCUUCUCCCCCUCAUGAUUUGUAUCCUGUUUAGCUUAGAUCUAAUCUAGCCAUGAGAUAAAAACAAAGGUAGAAGGAAAUAAAACAAAAGAGAAAUGGAAGAAGAGAAGGGAGGGGGAAGACUCAACUUGUGGUGUUCGGCCGCUGAGUCGGCGUUGGCACGAUCGGCCACGGUUGUGACCACGGCUGUUGACAGCCGAAGACCCUCCUCCUCCCGAUCAUCUCCUUCACAUUUUUAGUUCGACCGUAAUCUAGCAUUCCAUGGAUCCGGCCGUAAUACAUCCUUAAACCACUGUGGAGGCCCUUGCUCUUCCCUUUCAUCUCGGUAGGUAACCUCAAGCUUCAUUUCUUCCGCCGAGGAAGGAGGGGAAGAGGAGAGGUCAAGGAUGAGAAGAAGAGAGAGAGUCCGAUGAUGGCGGCCCUAGAUUAGGUAGCCGAAGACCUUGGAGAGGAUAGAUCGGGGUGAUCCGAGGCCCUCCUUGCUCUCGACGGUGCUCGAGCUUCCAUCUUCCCCCACCGGAGAUGGAGGAAAGGAGCGGCCAGCCGGGCUGCGGCUGCUGCCGGCCAGACCACGGCCGCCGCAGGCGCCGCUGGUUGGCCGCAGCGCCGCCGGCUUCGGGCCGGCCUUCUCCCGAGCACUCCUGCGAACCUCCUUGCCUCAUGGGAGGAGAGGAGAAGAGGAGGGGAGGAGAUCGGGACGAGAAGAGGAAAGAAGGAGAAG
rnacentral:lncRNA from 1 species